rnacentral:lncRNA from 1 species
CCGAAGCUUCCUGGUCGGGUUUUAAAAUUGUUGAAAUUCUUUCAAAUUUCAUUAACCUUUUUCAAAACAGCAUACUUUUUUGAAAAAUCAAUAAUGUUUUAAAAAUUCAUCUGUUUUUUUUCUAAAUUUCAUUCCUUAGCAGGUUCAGGGUCCCCUCCUCAUCCGAGACACUUGACUAAAUUGACCUUAAUUUUUCUAAAAUAUCCUCAACAAAAACAUUAGUCCCACAACAUUUAUGUUGACAUUAAUUGACAAAAACACACUGCCACACAUCAUGGCAGUAUCCUUGACGAUGUCGAAGGUACUGAGUCACAUAUGCACACUUUUAUUGUUCUCACGUAUCUUAUCCGCUUACUUACCACACGGCUGCCUCCGCACAUCAUGAAAUUUCGGAUAAAAGUGAGGAUUCAAUCUUAUAAAGUUCAAUUUGUGCUCUCAACCCAUUAACAAUAUCAAUAUGAAGCUUUUAAGAAAUAUUUUUUUAUUUGUUAAAUCGGUGAGAAUUACCUAAAUUUUAUCAAUAAUUAAAAUAUAUGAAACUCUCAUAUUUAUACAAAGCUCUUGUACUUUUUGAUAACUAAUUAUAUUUUAGUGAGAGGACAUUUCGUUUAAACUCAAACAUUGGCGUAUGCAAUUUUUCCAAAACUCAAACCACAUCUUGGAAGAAUAUAUUUUUAUUUUUCAAAGUUGGUUCCCUAGUUAGAAAUAUUUUGCUAAACCGAAUUUUGAGAGAUACACAACGUGAAACAAAAUAACAUUUCCUCAGCUAUCUUAUUUCGUUAGUAUAAUGUUGUUU